UUUAAUAUGGCAGAAUAGUGCAAUGAGCUUAAGAUUCAUAUAUAAAGGAUAUCUUUUAUUAAAA
rnacentral:tRNA from 1 species